rnacentral:rRNA from 1 species
GUGAGGAAUAUUGGACAAUGGGCGCAAGCCUGAUCCAGCCAUGCCGCGUGCAGGAAGACGCAUCUAUGGUGUGUAAACUGCUUUUGUACGGGAAGAAACACUCCCUCGUGAGGGAGCUUGACGGUACCGUAAGAAUAAGGAUCGGCUAACUCCGUGCCAGCAGCCGCGGUAAUACGGAGGAUCCAAGCGUUAUCCGGAAUCAUUGGGUUUAAAGGGUCCGUAGGCGGUUUAAUAAGUCAGUGGUGAAAGCCCAUCGCUCAACGAUGGAACGGCCAUUGAUACUGUUAGACUUGAAUUACAAGGAAGUAACUAGAAUAUGUAGUGUAGCGGUGAAAUGCUUAGAUAUUACAUGGAAUACCAAUUGCGAAGGCAGCUUACUAUUUCGUAAUUGACGCUGAGGCACGAAAGCGUGGGUAGCGAACAGGAUUAGAUACCCUAGUAGUCC